CUUUAAUUAUUGUGCAGUUAUUCCGAAGCUGCCCUUGUUUACGGAAUCAAGGGCAUUAUAAAUAGAAGCAAUUCUCCAGCUAUGUCCAUUUUAUGAGAAACAAAGAACGAAAGAAAGAAGGGAAAGGUUUUGGACGCACAAAACGGUGGCACCAUCAUAACCUUCAAAUUAGAGGGGGAGCGAUGGAUGGUGCCACGCUGUGUGCGUCUAAAUUACUUUACUCUUCCAAUUUUCAUGCCACUUUUUCCAGUUCUAUGGGAAGGCAAUUGAGUAGGUGCAUUUGGAGGAAUUUGAUGAUGAGCUACCAAUUAUAUUUGAUCUUUCCUCACUUAUUCAUGUUUUAUUUAAUCACUUUUUUAUCAUUUUGUUUAACUAAAUUCUUUCUUUAAUUCUUUAUCUUUUCUGUUGAUUUCGUCCUUCUCUCUCUCUCUCUCUCUAUACAUUACUUUGUCAUGUUAAUUACAUCAUUUGUUCCAUAUACGGAUUAAACUAACCCAUUUUACUUUUUCCCCUUUUGUUUCAUUAUCUUCUUUUAAUUCCCUAAUUUGUUAUGCUGCUUACAUUUCUUUCGUGUCUUGUCAUCUUAAUUGCAUCAUUACAUUAGUCCCAUACACUAAUCAAACUGUUUUGUUCAAGCAGGUGGAUACAUAGGCUUAAAGUUUUCUUCCGGGUAACAAACCAAUAGUAAUUAUUAUAUUGUAGUUUAUACAGUCAUAUAAUCCUCUCUCUUUUGCAAAAGCAAAAAAAUGUUGUUUCAUAGUUAGCCUCUUAAUUUUAUCUUAAUUAUGGAGUAUUCGACAUGGCAUGGGCAUAACUUAUGCGACUCGCAAUAUUUACAUCCAAUCGUGAUAGAUUAUUUGGAUCCAUUGGUGAAUUGACAUAUAUACUACUUCACUGGCCACUGCUGCUCUUGUGUGGAUGUGCCGUUGAAUCCAUCAGCGUGUGCGACAGUAUAUUAAUUUCUCACUCUCCUCUCUUCCUUUUCAGGGUAAAAAGCUGAAACUUGUUUCCUGCACCAUUGCAUCACUUGGGUUUGUUUUGUUUUCAUUUGUUUGCCGUUUCCAGAUUUCAGCAGCUUCCACGAAAAAUAAGGAUUAGGUGUCUAUUUCUGGACAUGUUAUUAUCAUACCAUGCACCGUAGUUGUAGCGAUCUUGCCACCGUGUGCUAUACGGAAGCUGACACCUGUCCGUUUCUAUUUCUCUUUAGCAUAAAUUAUCUUUUGAAUUUUGUCA